rnacentral:rRNA from 1 species
GAUGAACGCUGGCGGCGUGCCUAAUACAUGCAAGUCGAGCGAACAGAUGAGGAGCUUGCUCCUCUGACGUUAGCGGCGGACGGGUGAGUAACACGUGGAUAACCUACCUAUAAGACUGGGAUAACUUCGGGAAACCGGAGCUAAUACCGGAUAAUAUAUUGAACCGCAUGGUUCAAUAGUGAAAGACGGUUUUGCUGUCACUUAUAGAUGGAUCCGCGCCGCAUUAGCUAGUUGGUAAGGUAACGGCUUACCAAGGCAACGAUGCGUAGCCGACCUGAGAGGGUGAUCGGCCACACUGGAACUGAGACACGGUCCAGACGCCUACGGGAGGCAGCAGUAGGGAAUCUUCCGCAAUGGGCGAAAGCCUGACGGAGCAACGCCGCGUGAGUGAUGAAGGUCUUCGGAUCGUAAAACUCUGUUAUUAGGGAAGAACAAAUGUGUAAGUAAAUAUGCACGUCUUGACGGUACCUAAUCAGAAAGCCACGGCUAACUACGUG